UACGAAGGGGGGCUAGCGUUGCUCGGAAUUACUGGGCGUAAAGGGCGCGUAGGCGGACAGUUUAGUCAGAGGUGAAAGCCCAGGGCUCAACCUUGGAAUUGCCUUUGAUACUGGCUGUCUUGAGUUCGGGAGAGGUGAGUGGAAUGCCGAGUGUAGAGGUGAAAUUCGUAGAUAUUCGGCGGAACACCAGUGGCGAAGGCGACUCACUGGCCCGAUACUGACGCUGAGGCGCGAAAGCGUGGGGGAGCAAAACAGG
rnacentral:rRNA from 1 species